CAAAAUUCCACGAAUGGAUGAAACACCCCGCUCUCCUCCAAGCCACCGACUCCGAGCCCCUCACCCUAGACCAGGAAUACCAGAUGCAGCUUACCUGGACCCAAGAACCCAACAAGUAGACUUUCAUUGUAUUGGAUAAGCAAUUGGUUGUGGGAGAGUUAGCCAUGGAGAGCUUCAUGCGGAAGAUUAGGGAUAAGCUCCGUACCCAAACUCGAGAGAGAGAGAGGGCAAUCUGUGGGCGCCAAAUCCCAAUGCGAUCUCUGGAAAAG